GCCAUGGGCUUAAGGACUCGAUCUUUCGAUCAUCAUAGGACUACUCUCAUCUACCGAGGUUGAUAGAUCCCAUCUUGGUGCGACCUAGUUCCUACAAUGAAUGUGCUACAGCUAACAUACACCUCAGGAUUCCGAAUGGCUAGGAGAUUGAGUUAUGGUGUAGUCAAACUAUAACACACUCAAGGUGAACUGUCGACGCACCUCAGAUCAAAGAACUAGACAUACAACUGCAGCAUCGAGCUAGUCAUCAAUGAGAAGGUAGACUUCCUUACGAUUGCUCGAUAUGGUCACGCUUAGUACUCUCGUUCUCAAUGAAUAUCUGUACUAUCGCUUCGGUAUCUCUACACCAUAGAC
rnacentral:lncRNA from 1 species